AACUACCAGCGAAAAGCUAAAAACUCAAAGGACUUGAUGGUGUCCCACAUCAACCUAGAGGAGCCUGUCCUAUAACCGAUAACCCACAAUUCACCCCCCCUGCCCUAGCCCAUCAGCCUAUAUACCGCCGUCUUCAGCUCACCUAAUGAUAGAUACCCAGCAAGUACAAUUGGGCACCGCCCCUGAUACAGCAGGUCAAGGUGUAGCUAAUGAGCAGGUAGAGAUGAGCUACAUUUUUUCCCACCAAGAAAACACCAACAGCGCCAUGAAACCCCGCCAAAAAGAGGAU
rnacentral:rRNA from 1 species